AACUUGAUAUGCUCGCUUGGUUUCACUACGACGGUGAAUGAAAAGGGAAUCCGGUGCGAAUCCGGAACGGUCCCGCCGCGGUGAGGAACGACGCUGUUGACGUUGCGGCUAAUCGGCCGCAAGCCACUCGCUUGGUUGCGGGGAAGGCGGUGCGACAGCGGAUGACAUCCGAGUCCGAAGACCUGCCAGGCGAAGCAGCUCUGU
rnacentral:ncRNA from 2 species